rnacentral:lncRNA from 1 species
CCCACCUACGAUAGUAGAGGGGCAUUAUGUUUUCUGGUCUGUGCGUCCGUUCGUCCGUUCGUUCGUCCGUCUGUCCCGCUUCAGGUUAAAGUUUUUGGUCAAGGUAGUUUUUGAUGAAGCUGAAGUCCAAUCAACUUGAAACUUAGUACAUAUGUUCCUUAUGAUAUGAUCUUUCUAAUUUUAAAGACAAAUUAAAUUUUUGACCCCU